rnacentral:lncRNA from 1 species
CUGUAAAAUUGCAUAAAGAAACACAAACUCUCUGCUAAUUUCAUUAGGGACCUAUUAAGCUAGCAGGACUCUAAUACACAAAUGGAACAAUUGUCUUCAUCAACAGCAGGAGGACAAUUUACCAGAAGAAGAAACUAUUUAGAUGGCACAAUUAAGUUAUAUUUCGUCUCCUUUUUCCUGCAGAUAAAUUAAGAAGAUAAACAUUAAUGUUAUUUAUGAGUUUAUUUUGGAGUUCUCCUUUAUUUUUCCUUCUUGACUAGUUUUACCAUCAUUUACCAUAAAGCCCCUUCUAUAUAUAUCAGACACUCUUGAUUUCAUAUCAGUCAUUGCACCUUUCUUCCUCCCUCAUGAACACUGGUCUCAGUUCUAGUCCAAAAGUGGAACCUUAAUAACCUAGCCAGAGCAGUCCCAGUUCCCUCAACAAUACAUAUUGUGAUUUUAUCCAGUGAGACAGAAAAGCAAAUCUACCAGGAGGCUUCUGGAAGAAAUAUCUAUUGUGAUAAAAACAGACAAGUAAAAUGUGGUCCCAUUUUUUAUGCUGGAUGUCAUUGUUUCUCCAUGUGAUACUUGGGACUGUAGCAACCAUUUUAUAGCCAUAUGGGAAAGAAUCUUCCAUAAUGAAAAUAGCAGAGAGACAAGAUAAAAAGAACCUGGGUCCUUCACUAUGUCCCCUAAUUAAACAAAUUUGGAGCAGCCCUAUCCUACAUAACAAAGUAAAUUUCUCAUGUUUAAACUUGUGAGGGUUGGAGCUUUUUCAUUGCAUAUAGCAGAAAGUAUUCUAACCAAAUAACCCACACUAAAUGCAAUUUUUUUCAUUGUGAACUCUUGUAGGACAUAACUCAGAGUGAUCAUACAAACUGCCCAUUAUUUGUUUAAUAGAAAGAGUUUAGUACAUGGAAUGAUGAAAUCUCUAUAACUAGUUUAGUAGUUAUCAUGAAGCAAUAGAUAAAGCAAAACCAAAAGACAGAAGUGUAAAUUUGUCUUCAAAAUAUAUUAUACACUGAAAUGUUUCAAUUUUUAUGACUAUAGAGACAAAAUAAUAAGCAAAGUUGUAAUAAAUUAAUGAUUUCUAGAGCAAAUGAAAUUAUUUUCUUUUCAAAGUGGAAACAAAUGUUUCCCUAUUGAUAUUGUACAUAAAAAUUUACAAAUGACAUAUAAAGAGUAAAACAUAUGUUUCACUAGCCUCAGAUCAGAGACAAUGUACCUUAGAAGUCAGGCUAAGGAAUCUGAGCCCAUUCCUCAGUCCCUAAAGUUGCUAUUGAUCAUGAGGGAGGAGACCCUUAAGACCAAAAAAGAUCAAAUUCCAGAGAUUCACUGGAAACAACUGAGCAGCAAAGACAGUUGCUCUUUGAAAUUCUCACUUAUUCUUACUGAAUAUGACCAAAAAUGUUGCAGCCAUGGCUAUUGCCAUUUGUAAGAUGACCAAAAAAUAUCAACACUCUCUAUGAUGCAAAAUAUGGAAUUCUGAGUUGCCUGCAGAAAAUUCUGUCAAUAACAUAGCAAAACACCAUGAGUAGUGAUCUAAGUGAGAGUUAGGAAUGCUCUGCCAUCCAACUGGGUGACCUUGGACACAUCCCAUCUCUGAUUUUCCUUUAAAAUAAAAGAAUUUGAAUGGAUGAUCCUCACAGUCCUUUUCAUUUCUCACCUUUCACUGUCAUUACCACCACCACAGAUAUAGAAGAGACAAGGUAUUUUGAGUAUAUACUGGGAUCUGGGCUACAUGCUUUAUAUACUAGGUCUCAUUUAAUUAUCCCAAUAGCCCUCUGAAGCAAUUAUUCUUUUCCCAGUCUAAAAAUUAGAAAACUCAGGCUCAGAGAGGUUGCUUUGCUCAGCAAACGACAAAAAUUUUUGUAAUUUCCCACUCUAGAUUGCUUAUUUCUAGUCACCAACAGAUGACUAAGUAUAGAACAAGUCUGAACCACACUGUGAUGCACCUCUGGUAUAUGGCACUUUGCUCUCAAAAUUACAGACAUCUGAAUCAUAGCAACACACCUGAAAAGGGAAAAAAAACCUAGGAAAAUAUUCAUUAUAAUGUAUCAUUUGAUUUUAUGACAUAUUUUUUGGUUUUUUAAGUUUCUAGUUCAUUUAACAGUUGGGCAUCCAAUUCAUAUGUCAUUUUAUUUUGAAAAAUGAGAGUCUACUCUAGACACAACCCACUUGCCAUUGUAAUGGAUAGAAUUACUGAUUACACAUACCCUUCUCAAAAGAAAGAGAGGAUAUACAAUUGCCUCCCACCAUUGUGAUAGCACAUGGCAGUUACAAUUGGCACCUAGAGAAACAGCACAUAAUUGCCACCCAGUAAACUAACAGAAAGGGAGAGAGAGAUUAUAGGCACAAUAGCCAAAACAGUGGAGAAUGAACAACCCUCAGUCUUUAUUUUGAGUGAAGAGAAAGAAAGCAAUUUAUACUCAGAAGUACCAUCUCAGGAGAAAUCUUUUGUUGAGGGAUGACUCAUGUCUUUUACAAGUUCCUUUUGCUCACUCUCCAGAAGAAACAGGAAAAGGUGAAUAUAAAAUCAAAAAACAAAAGGAGUUUAGCCAGCCCACAGGUACCAGGAAAAGAAAUUAUGAUGACUUCACCAGUGACAAUUAUAAAUGACUUUAGAUACAGUGAAGUUUUGGAAAGCGAGAUAGGAAAUUGAUAUUUCCUUUGGAAGUUUAUUUUUUCCAAGGAAAUCAGAUUUAUACCCAUAGUUGGUUAUCAUAUGUUGGUGGGGAUGAUAUAACAUGGACGGUCUCAUAAUAAAUGGGUGUUAGUCUAUUUCAAUGUGCAGAUUCUGAGACACUUUUCAUCUUCUUGCUAAUGUUUUUUAUGUUUAAUACAAAGUUUCACCAGACAUGUAACCUCUUCCUCCCAAUUUAUUGGUACUCAAGAAGAAAAGGAGGACUGAUUUUCCUGUUUUCACUAGUGGAAAUUUAUGGAGAUAAAAAUGUAUGCUCUUAAAGGCACAGAGAUUAAGGCUGAUUCCUGAACUGCUGAUUGACCGUUGUGGGCCUGGCUGAGCUGAGUUUGCAUAGCUGUUUUUAUAAAAACAGGUGAAUACUCACAUUUGCUAUGUCUGUCCCUAGUUUUUAAACAACCUCCCAAAAAACUUCUGAGUCCCUGGAACAAAAAGCCCAGCCAAUGCAUGAGCAGAAUUAGUAUUAGUACAGUAGAACUACUGAGUGUUGACUACAUAAGCGCUGUCUCAGCAGUAUAAUCCAUAAAGAAUGCAGGCUGCACAAUCUGCAGAAGCAUGAAUUAUGCUAUAGGAGAAAAAUAUUUUUGAAGUUAUAAUGUGGUGCUUGUAGCAGGGCUGGUAGAUGGAAAAGCUUAUAAACAGAUAAUGUUUCUCUUUCACAAAGAAAUCUAUAUAAUGAAAGAUACUGUGGCAUAAUACUACAUCAAACUCUUAAUACUCUGAUGACUAUCCUAUCAUAGAUUAAACAAAUAUCUUUAACAGAUUUUUAUCCCUGCCUUUGCUUCAUACGUUUACAGAAAACAAGCUGAGGCUUCUUCACUCUUCUUACUGAAAGUGAAGAUCUUUAUAUAUCUAAGAGAAAGAAAACCAACAAUAGCAAAAUAAAUAGAAUUAGUUCCUUCAUUAGAAACGUCUGUUGUCAUAAUCUCAAAGUACAAUAUUCUGUACCAUAUACACAUUCAAGUUUCCAAAGGAAUCUAUAAUCUCCCCAAUGGGCUGGUUUAAAUGACAACAGCAUUUAUAAAGUACCUACUAUGUACUGGGAUCUCUACAUAUAUGCAUCUCUCAACUUCACAGUAGCCCUUUAAAGUGAAAUUGUUACUACCAUUUUAAAAAUGAGGAACUGAGACUCACAGAAAUUAAGCAAUUUUUUCCAAGAUAACAAAACAAGUAAGUUAAGGAAUAGGUAUUAAUUUUUCUAGUUCUAAAAUUCAUCAACUUAUCAACAUACUAUGUUGAUUUUCAAAGUAACCCAUUUGGGGAAGAAAUGAGAUCUCAGGAUUGUUAAAGCCAAUCCAGGCUAUAUAUGGCAUUUCCCAACAUGGUCAUCUACACAGUUGCCCACACAAUAAUUAUCCAGCAAUGUUAGCAUCUAUACAUUGGCAGAAAAAUCAGAGUAGGCUAAUGGCAUUGCAUCACUGUCAACUCUUCCACCAUGAUAUAUUUUUCAGUUCUUACUGAAAAUAAAUAAAAGCAAUAGCAAUAUAUUGAAACAUUCUUUAUAUCACAAAAGUGUUAAGUAUGGACCUUUAUAUGAACAUAAUAAGGUUCUUAAUCUUUGAACUUAGAUUAAGACUCAUGAAAUUAAUUCUUUCUAAAUGGAGAAGUUUUAACCCUGAACCACUAUAAAUGUAUCCUUUAUUAGACACUGAAAGCUGUGUUGUAUAAUCCGUUUCCUUCUUUGCUUGGCUGCCUGGAACCUAAGAACUAAAGGUCCUUAAUUCAACUAUGUCAGCUUCUUCAAUUUAGGUUUUCUAGUAUAGCACUUUCCUCCUACAAUGAGAUUAUGAGUUUGUAAUGAACUACCAGGAUGUUCAUUCAUGUUCCCUAGGCCUCCCUUCUGGCCCAUUGGUUAAAAAAUACUAUGCUGGAAGAACACUUCCCCCCUAAAUAAUAACAUGCUAAUUGGGGGCAGUCAUUGAGGAGUUAUACUUUCUAAAUGCUUCCAGAUGAGCCUAAUGUUCAGCCAGGACCUAGAACUUUUAGCACAGCUCUCUCAGCUCAUAUCAAGAGUUAAAGAGAAUGCACCANGGGAGUUCCUGUUGUAGUUCAGUGGGUUAUGUACCUGACCAGUAUGCAUGAGGAGGUGGGUUAGAUCCCUGGCCUUGUUCAGUGGAUUAAGGAUCCAGUGUUGCUGUGAGCUGUGGUGUAGGUCACAGACAUGGCUUGGAUCUGGCAUUGCCGUGGCUAAGGUGUAGGCCAGCAGCUUCAGUACCAGUUCAACCCCUAGCUUGGGAACUCCCAUAUGCCACAGGUAUAGCCCUAAAAGGAAAAAACAAAAACAAAGCCCACUGUGUGGCAAACCAUCUUGUCUCAUUUCUUCCUAAAAAUAUGUUCCAGAAAAUUCUAAAGCUCAAUCUACACCAUCCUGUUAUACAGCACUAGCAUCUAGAUAACAAAAGGGUGAAGCAGAGUGUAGAGCAUCAUCAAUUUCCCCUGAUACUCAUCUUGCUACAGAGGAGGAGGGGUCAUUCAAUUCACCCCCUCAGCCAGGGCCAGAGAAGAGGCACUUGCACACUUUCCUACCAUCUUCUGUGAAGGAAGUGGUGGCAUUUUUCUUGAUUUGCUAAGUCAUUUGCUGAGUCACUAAAGCUGCCAGGAAAGAGGAACCACACAAGUGCAAGAAAGCAAAGCUGAGAGCAGGCAUGGCUAAGAUUUAUGAGAGUCUCUUCAACCAAGAGGAAGUAGUGUGGGCGCUCAACAGCACAUGAGGACCCUAGAAGCAAAAGUUCUCAUCUUUCUAAUCUUUGUUAACAAGACAAUUGGAACUGUGCACACAGAACUGGACAGAGCCCCCAGGAGUUCAAUAUCUACAUUGCAGGUGAGAGUCAGAUUAUGGACUCUGAUCACUCAGAGAAUCAAUAACCAGUUUCUCACAAGUGCAGUAGUGACCAAGAAUGAAUAGCAGACUCACUUCCUACUGAUUUGUGGCCACAUGCGUGCAGAUGUCCAGAGCCACCACCCCAAGAGCAGACAAUCACAGUCCAGUCAUACAUCAUCAGUCCAGGGCAAGGAUGGGAAAUCAGGCCCAGGAAGAAAGGGACACUAUAAGAAAGUACAUUUGAACCUCAUGGAUUUACACCCUCAAAAAACUCCCCCUUAUAGACUACACUGAAGUUGAGACCAAUCAUAAAAAUUGGCAAGUGGUUAUGAUUUGGCUACCAAAAAAACAAUCACAGGAUUGGGCCAAUAUUUAAACUGAAAUGAAAUAAAAUAUAAGCUCUCUUCUUAAGGAAGCUUAGGUGCUUCAAGACCAAGUAUAGUUUGAGAAGAGUUUCAAAUAAGAAUGCUUACAUCUGCACUUUACGUAGGUGGUGACAAUUCUACCAAGCUUUGCCAUAAUUGUAACAUUCUCCUUUGCCAAAAGGUAAACUGAGGCAUAUUAAAAAUUUUAAGAGUUUGAGCAAAAAUCAAUUUGAAUCAGGCAGCAUCCAAUCUAGCAGAGGAAACUGUACAAAAUGAAAGACUUUUAUAGGCAGAAGGGAGCAGGAACAAGGAAGUUAUACUAGGCCAAAAAGCAGGUUGAUUAUCACAAAGUUAGUUUCCUUUAGGGGAUGGCAGGAGUCUAUCAGGCAGAUUACUAUUACUGUUGCCAGAAUUCAGCCUCUGUCUGCCAGUGCUGAAAUGACAUGCAGAGACAGAGUUUUGGGUAAAGAAGAAAAAAAUUAGCUUUAUUGCUUUGCCAGGCAAAGGAGGGUCACAGCAGGCUAAUACCUUAAAGACUGUUGCCCCCCAUUAGCAAGACGUGGGAGGAGUUUUACAGUAAAAAGGAGAAAAACAGGUUUUCAGAUAGGAAUCAGGAUUGGAACAACAUGAAUUAUUCUUUCUUUUGGGGAAUCUUAGUCAUCAAAGCUGAAGUCAAGGAGAUCUUGGUAUGAUCAUGAUGGUCUUCUGGGCUAUUGCCUAGAAUAACAGUACUGGCAAAAAGGGCAUAUUGAUCAGAGAUUAGAACAAACUAGCGUAAAUUCCUGAAAAACAUCAAGUGCAAAUAAUCUUUAACCCACAGGCAAUUAUGCUCAGGGUGCCUAAUCUUUAGCUUAUGUCUUUGUGUUUAGCAUGCAAUUAACUCAGGGAGAAGGACAAGGUAGGACUCUAAGAUGUUCAAUGCUGAAGUAUUCAUUUCUAAAAGAAGCGCAAGGAAUAUACCUUUUCUCUUAGGUGCAUAAGAUGCCUAUAUUAUUACAUGUAUUCCUUGAGAGGGAACCAGAAUACUUCCCCAAGGCUGUACUAUUGUUGCUUGACUGUUUCUCCCUUCCCUGAUCAGCAACUGUCUGAACCUGUCCCUAGGAAUUCAGGGAAGGUCAUGGUGGCUGAAUGAAGCCCAUUUGCUAAGAACAAGAAAUGAGGGACACAGAAAGGCUUUUGUGCCCAGGAGCCCCACAGAGCCAUGUUCAGCUUCAGUACUGAUCCAGUAAUUCCUGAAUGACUGGAUUAAAGUUCCAUUUGUGGAAGAGCUAAAACUAUAAUUAAAUUACCUCAGUUUGGUGAUGGGGGACUUAACAUAAGCCAACUCCAUUUUGGACCUGUUGUCUUGUUAUUAAUAUGCUACAAAAUGUGAGGCUCUUUUCUUAUUACUCAUGUUUUAGGAGUUUGGAUUUAGUUUUUAUUACCUUUUAACUGAAAGCUGUUUCAAAUGACUUUCAGAAGGUCAUGAUAUAUAAACAACAUCCUGACAUUUAUUUUGAUCAUCAAAGAUAAAUAUGGUCUAUGACCAGAAAGCACCUAUUGAAUGUUUCAAUCUACACAGUACAAAGUUAUGCUAUUUUGCUAUAACUUGGGAUCUUAUAUAUAGUAAGACACUAUAUUUAUCUUUGAAGUUCUUGAGUUAUUAUACUCAAAUAUCAAGCAUUCGCCAUAUUUAUUUAAAUGAGUGGCUGUGGCUGGACACCAAUAAAAUUUGUUUAUUGACAUUGAUAUUUGAAUUGAAAAAACUUGUGUGUUCAGGUUUUAACAGUAGAGAAUAUAAAAAUAUAAAACAUAAGUAGAAGACAGGGAAAAUCUUGCCCCCCUCCCCCCACCACCAUCUAUACUGUGGUUUUCUAAGCCUUGUGAGUUGGUUCAGAUCUCCUACUGUCUUUGGUGCUAGUUUGCAAACUGGAGGUGAAAUAGACUAUUGCGAAGAUUAAAUGGAUAUCUACAAAGUGACUACCCUGGUGACUGGCAUACAGUAGGUACUCAGAAUAAGACAGCUACAAUUGUUACCUGUCAGAAAAGAUCUCUUUCCCCAAAAGUCAUAGGGAUAGGGCUGGAAAAUACCUAGAUUAAAAUGCAAAUGUGAGGCCUUAAUUAUUCAAAUGUUCCCUGGAAGUCAAUUAUAUUUCCAUUAAGAGGCAAAUGUGCAUUGGAAUUCCUGCAGGGGUACAUUACAAAGAGGAAUGGGCUUCAGAGUGCAGAGCAGAGCAGGGAAUCCUUGUGACCAAAUAAUAAGAAUGAGGAGAAGGGGUAUGAGUGGGUGCUGUACUAAAAUGGUGUGUGUUUGUUUGUUUGUUUGUCUUUUUGGCAUUU